AUGCCAUACCUACCAUUGGAUGUGGAAAACUUGGUAGCAAAAUAUCCCAGGGAAAGUCAACUAACAAACAUGGAGGACAUGAUUGCAUACUUAAAGGAGAAGGAUAAUGAAGAUCUGGAUUUCUUCUAUAGAAUUAAACUGGACGAUGAGGACCGCGUGGUGAACAUGUAUUGGAUAGAUGGUGCAGCGCGCUGGGUGUACAAGCACUUUCGUGACUGCAUGCCAUUUGAUGCGACAUAUCUCACCAACAUGUACAAGAUGCCAUGCGCUCCUUUCAUUGGCAUAAACAACCACAGCUAG
rnacentral:rRNA from 1 species